GUGGGGAAUCUUCCACAAUGGACGAAAGUCUGAUGGAGCAACGCCGCGUGAGUGAAGAAGGGUUUCGGCUCGUAAAGCUCUGUUGUCGGGGACGAAUGUGCAGUAUUUGAAUAAAGUACUGCAAUGACGGUACCUGACGAGGAAGCCACGGCUAACUACGUGCCAGCAGCCGCGGUAAUACGUAGAUGGCAAGCGUUGUCCGGAAUUAUUGGGCGUAAAGGGAGCGCAGGCGGGAAGGUAAGUCGGUCUUAAAAGUGCGGGGCUCAACCCCGUGAUGGGAUCGAAACUAUCUUUCUUGAGUGCAGGAGAGGAAAGUGGAAUUCCUAGUGUAGCGGUGAAAUGCGUAGAUAUUAGGAGGAACACCAGUGGCGAAGGCGACUUUCUGGACUGUAACUGACGCUGAGGCUCGAAAGCCAGGGGAGCGAACGGGAUUAGAAACCCGAGUAGUCC
rnacentral:rRNA from 1 species